AUUGAACGCUGGCGGAAGGCUUAACACAUGCAAGUCGAACGAGUGGCGGACGGGUGAGUAAUGAUUGGGCAUCUAGCUAAUGGCGGGGGAUACCUACGGGAAACUGUAGCUACUACCGCAUACACUAGGAUGCGCCAAAGUGGGAUGAGGUAGUUGGUGGGGUAAAGGAUCACCAAGCCGACGAUCGGUAGCUGGUAUGAGAGGAUGACCAGCCACACUGGGACUGAGCCACGGCCCAGACUCCUACGGGAGUCAGCAGUGGGGAAUAUUGCGCAAUGGGGGCAACCUGACGCAGCCAUGCCGCGUGAAUGAAGAAGGCCUUCGGGUUGUAAAGUUCUUUCGGUAGCGAGGCGUUAACUACAGAAGAAGCACCGGCUAACUCCGUGCCAGCCGCCGCGGUAAUUC
rnacentral:rRNA from 1 species